AUGGCACCUGACUACAAUUCAAGGGAGUUCAAAUGCUACGCUGCAGGUGUUGUGGGCCUGGCAUUUUCCUUGCGCAACACACCUCAUCCCCUCUCCACCUUAGAUCCUACCACUGCUGGGAUCAGUUUAAUGCUCACAAGGGGCUGCCUCAGGUUGGUCCCCUGCAAGUCCACAGGGCUGGGAGCUGAAGAGGGUUGGUUCCCCAACCUUGUGCUGUUCGCUAUCGGUUCACGCUCGGAGGCUUUGAAGACAGAAGAGGCUGUAGAAAUGCUACGGGUUAUUAUUGCCGAUGUAAAACUCCACGAAUUCCAUUUCCUCACUAAGCCAGGCCUGCAAACAACUGUCACCAAACAAACAAUUGAAGGCAUAAGUACAUCACUUCAUUCCCCUCAAAGAAAUAUUAACUUCAAAGCCAAGUUAGGACCAUUUAAAUGCAAGUAACUCUAAAAGGACCAGGAGGCUGAGCAGGAAGCGACGGUACAGUCACACGCCAAGGGACUGCAGCAUACAAGCAGCAGCCAAGAAACUAUGCAUACAUUGUUUUUCCACCAGAAGCACUGAAAAGAGACUUACCUGCUUGCGCAGCUCCAUAGCAGUAAGCACAAGGAAAGUUUCAGAGGAAUGAAGGCUCUCACAUCUUACCAGGAGAUCAUCCCCGCCAACUCUGAAGGGCAAAUACCCAACACUGUUUCAGAUAAAGCUUUUCUCACUGUUCUCCAGGUGUUCUCCUGCACCACUUUCAUUGUAGCCAAAGGCCAACAUUUCCACCCAAAGAAUUUUAACUGUUUAGCAAAUCUAGGGACCCACCUGAAGUCUACAGAAGAAAUGAAUAACUUCAUUUGCAGUCAAAGUAGAACCAAUAUUUCACUUUCUUUUAGUUGUGUACUUGGUUUAAUUGUCCUGUUAGUGUACUUAUUGUACAAAUUGCCGUGAAUCAAAACACAAAGGGCAAUUUUGGAUAUGGCUUGCCCUCACAGAGAAAGAACUGCUUUGAUGUUAGACAUACAUUUGGUUUAGCAUUAGUCAAAAAUAUUUAUUGGUACCCUUUGCCCAGCGAACAAUUAGGUGUCAGGAUGUACAAAAUAUUAAGGGUAUCUCCCAGACUAAUAGUUCCUUUUACAGGUACUUUUUAAUAUAUUUAUAAUGAAUUAUCUGAGUUAAAGAAAGCAGUUGAGUACCAAAAAAGGACUUAUGUGCUACCCUUUGAAAGGAAGAAAAGGAGUUCAUACUGAUUUAUUCAGACCACUGAAGGCCUCAGUAAGAGAUUUCUGCUUAUUUUGUGCAAGCAAGAGAACAGCUGACUCACAGGCUUACCUGUGUACUUUACAAAUUGCUCCUGAAGGAAGCUCUACUGAACUCUUUGGUCCUUAUCUUGUGUCUGGUGUUACGAAACCAGAUCUCCUUACCCAAACUUGGUCUGACUGAAGUCAUCAAGACUGUAUUUAACCCUUUAUCAGACACAGAUCACUCUGUGAUUUAUUUUCGACAUGAAAAUAAGAAGAGCCUCUUUCUCUGGCAUAUGAUCCUAAUUCCAGAUUUCUGUCUACAGUCUCAGGUUCUGAUGAAAAUACUCAUAACCAGAACUGUGCAAUUAUUUGCAUGGGUUUAGUACAAAUAUAAUUGUUUUAUGCUUGAUUUACAGGACAGAUUGGGAGAGAUUAUGUUCAUUUUCUUUUUGUAAAGCAGAUAUAUAAUUUAUAUGAAAAGGGGGAAGAAAUGGAAGAAAGAAGAGUAACUGAUGUAAUACAGAUAGCGAAUAGUGCUUUACAACUGCUAACGACAAUUAGAUAUUUCUUUGAAUGAGGUGAGAAGGCAUUUCAAAAGCAUUUUCCUCCCUAAUUUUCCUUCCUGCUGAGGAAUGUUUAUUUGCCCUGCUGCAGCCACAUCGCUGCCAAAGGAACAGAGGCUCCCAUGCAAGAAUGACAGUCAGUGAACAAUUCAAGUCUGUCUUCCCUAAGAACAUCUAGUGAGAACUAAUCAAGACAUCCAGGUCUGAGUAUCAUCUCGAGGAACCUGUUCAUGAUUGACUGGAUGGAGAAGGGGAAUGGGGUGCUGUUGUCUACCCAUCCUUGCCUUUUUGGUGAGAGGUAUUGUUCCUCUGUGUCAGUUCCACACCAGUCUGUGAUGCUAUCUGGCAGGGCACUGGGGCCCAAUUCACAGUUUGUUGCAGAAGAAGGGUUCCCCGGAGAAAGUGUGCCAGGAGUGUGGCUCAGCUAAGGAUGUGUUGCAUCCCAACCUUGAGGUUUGACAGGCCCUUGGAAGGACAAAAUCCACCUCUUUGCACCUCUACUUCCUGUAUCCUCCCAUUACGUGGUUUUGCAGAGCUCUAACAAAGAAAAACCUAUUACAAAGACAAGUAGACAGCAAUCUAAAUAGCCCAGUCAAUCCUAGAAGACUCCAGAAGCAGAGACUUGAAAAAGCUAAACAAAAGGAAGUAAAGGAAAGACAUUUCCUUCAACUUUACAGAUUAAUUUCUUCUAUUUUGCUAAAUUGGAGGAGAGUGGAAGAAAGAUAAAGGAUGUUUUGCACGUUUGUUUCAAUGUGGCAAAAUAUCCUCUCAUUUUUCUCCCAGUUAUUGUGGUUACUGUAGUGGUUAGCUCAUUACACUGACACCAGAAACAAUAUUUUUCGUCUACUGAUUUAUAGCUUCCAUCUUUUCUUAUUUACAGCCCAUUGCUUCAAAAAGGUCUAGCUGAGGAUGUAGCUGUGGUUCUUCACAUCACGUGUCUAGCUGGGAAAGUGUGAGACACUAGGUGUGCUCAGCUAACAGGCCCAACACCUAAAAUGGCUUUCCUACUCUACCUGCUCCCAUUCCUGCUCCCAUGGACACCUACGGGUUGAGGAUGCUCAGUCAAGAGGAAUGUACUUUUCUGAUGAAAACCUGUAUUUUAACACUUUUAUGGAAGCCAGAGCAGAUGCUGUCAGCAGUGAGUAACUUUCAGGCUGACAAAAAGCCCAAAACCGAGGUGCCAACCACCCAGCUACCACUGAAGGGAGCUGCCGAGGGUUGAUGGCGAGGUGAAAAGGGGGAACGUGGGAGUUUGUUCAGUUUUGACAAAGGUGGGCUUGAAUUACCCUGGAAAUCGUGACUCAGAUGUUUUCAUGGCCACAGCUUGCAUUACUCCCAGGAAACUCUCUGAUGCUGAAGUCACAGUUUAGUUACAUCAGUGACUCAGAAGUGUGAAGAUUCAUAUUUUAGCACUUGGCAAUCCGAGGCAGUAUUAAACCAUUUAAAAAUGAAUGCUGAUGAAAAUGAAGAACUUAUGAGUGCUGCUUGACCAUGGGUGUGCGUUAGAAUCAUAAUUUGAGACGAAUGGUUUAAUUGUUCUCCGCCACUUAUUUUGGUUAAUAGUUCAGGAAUAAAAUAAGCCUACUGUUACA
ensembl:lncRNA